AUUGAACGCUGGCGGCAUGCCUUACACAUGCAAGUCGAACGGUAACAGGUCUUCGGAUGCUGACGAGUGGCGAACGGGUGAGUAAUACAUCGGUACGGGCCUAGUAGUGGGGGAUAGCUACUCGUGAGAGUGGCUAUUACCGCCUGAGAACAACGGCGGAAAGCAGGGGAUCGCAAUAUCUUGUGCUACUAGAACGGCCGAUGGCAGAUUAGGUAGUUGGUGGGAUAAAAGCUUACCAAGCCGACGAUCUGUAGCUGGUCUGAGAGGACGAGCAGCCACACUGGGACUGAGAAACGGCCCAGACUCCUACGGGAGGCCGCAGUGGGGAAUUUUGGAAAAUGGGCGAAAGCCUGAUCCAGCUAUGCCGCGUGCAGGAUGAAGGCCUUCGGGUUGUAAACUGCUUUUGUACGGAACGAAAAGCCCUGGGUUAAUACCCUGGGGUCAUGACGGUACCGUAAGAAUAAACACCGGCUAACUACGUGCCAGCCGCCGCGGUAA
rnacentral:rRNA from 1 species